rnacentral:sRNA from 1 species
GCCAGGCACAGUGGAGCAUGCCUGUAAUCCCAACUAUUUGGGAGGCUGAGGCAGGAGGAUUGCAAGUUCAAGGCCAGCCCCCAGGCAACUUAGAGAGAUCCUGUCUUAG